UGCAAAUCCAUUUACCAAAUUUCUCUCUCUAUCUUUUUAUCUUUUUUUCUCUCAACAUAUAUACUUUACUUUUACUCAAUCUAGAUCAAUCUUUUUCAUAUCGAUAUUUUAAUUACAAAUGUUAAUCAUUCGCUAAAUAUACAUGUACAUAUAUAUGUAUGUACAGGGUGUAUAUGUAUACAGGGUCGAGAGCAUUUAAUACAGGUCAUCUGAAUAACUCGUUUGUCUUCAACGAUAGAGAAAAAAGUUCCAGACGAAAGUGGCUCGAUGUCGAUGGGCAGAUAAUAUGAUGACAAUGAUUUUGUGAUGGCUGGAGGCGUAGAGGACACACGAAGGACAAAUGUAUUUUUUGAAACACAGAACGGAGCUUUAGUUUUUAUGGUAUCCAGGCGUAUCAUUAAAGAGAUAGGUUUGACCUUGGUAUGUCCUCUACGCCUGCAGCCGCCACAAAAAUUAUUGUCAACGUAUCAAGUGCUCCUUGGAAGCCGAGCAACUUUUUUCCUGCAAUUUUUUCCCUAUUGUUGAAGAGAAAUGAGUUAUUCCAGUGACCUGUUUUAAAUUGCCCAUCUUGUAUAUUUAAUAUUGUACAAGCAAACUCGCGUUCAACGAUACGAGGAGAAAUUUCGUCGCCGUAUUUCUUUCUGUGAAUUCCUGAACGCUGUAAACAUUUGGCAAGUGAUUAAGCAAAACUCAAGGAUUAGAA